rnacentral:rRNA from 1 species
AUCCAAGUUCAUACCACCCUGAACACACCUGAUCUUGAAAGCUAAAUAGGGGUGGGCCUGGUUAGAACUGGAAUGGAGAACAAUUGCUAAUGAGGCUAAAGUCAUGGGUG